AGCGAGGGCUGAAGGACGGCGCCGGCGGGCGGACCGAGCGCGGGCCGCGCCGACGGGAGAGGGAGGCAUCGCGGCACGGCAGGCACAGCGGGCACGGCACACCCGGAAGAGCCGCAGCGAGGAGUUAGGGGAGAAAGAGAUGCCUAGAUGAGACAACUUUUUCUUGAUACGUAAGCUGGUGAGGUUUAACGUCUGAAUCCUUCCAGUCUGCUGACAGGACGCUGCUCUGGAGCUGCAGAUAAUGUAUCUUAGCCAAUCUUCCUAAGCUGCCACGCUGCAGAUGAAACACAGGCGUGCUGUAGUAGAGGCUUAAAACAGCAUGGAAAGUCAAUGGAGAGGUGCUCACAAGAAGCAAUGUAAAAUUGGAGGAAGGUGUAUUCUAUUUUGGGGCUGCAUCAAGAUCGAUUUUGUUUUUACAUCAGACGAUUCAGAUGGGCUCGAAGUGUUCCAGCAAUAACACAACAACCCGAAGCAGAGCCCUGGAACACCUGGCCUUUUAUCACAAGAUCGCCUUCCUCCAGCUCCUGGCUUCCUCGUCAGCUGUGGGAGCGGACGCAUGGGAAACAAACCGUAACUCCACCAACAAAAAGAAAAAAUAAUUCAUGACUUUAUUUCUUUUCUUUUUUCUUUUAGUUCAGUUGGCCAUCUGAGGUGCUAAAAUCUCAACACCAAUGAAGCGAGUGUGCAUAAAAACAAAUGAUAAAACAACCAAACAGAAAAGAGGCUGGAACAGUUUUGGGGUUUUUUUUUUUUUUUUUUUGUUGGUUUUUUGUUGUUGUUGUUUUGUUUUUUUAACAAGUAGGAUAUAUACGCUUUUCUGUUAACACUCCAUACAUGCCAACCAUAAAAAGCCUUGAACAAUC
rnacentral:lncRNA from 7 species